GAUGAACGCUGGCGGCGUGCCUAAUACAUGCAAGUCGAGCGAACUGAUUAGAAGCUUGCUUCUAUGACGUUAGCGGCGGACGGGUGAGUAACACGUGGGCAACCUGCCUGUAAGACUGGGAUAACUUCGGGAAACCGAAGCUAAUACCGGAUAGGAUCUUCUCCUUCAUGGGAGAUGAUUGAAAGAUGGUUUCGGCUAUCACUUACAGAUGGGCCCGCGGUGCAUUAGCUAGUUGGUGAGGUAACGGCUAACCAAGGCAACGAUGCAUAGCCGACCUGAGAGGGUGAUCGGCCACACUGGGACUGAGACACGGCCCAGACUCCUACGGGAGGCAGCAGUAGGGAAUCUUCCGCAAUGGACGAAAGUCUGACGGAGCAACGCCGCGUGAGGGAUGAAGGCUUUCGGGUCGUAAAACUCUGUUGUUAGGGAAGAACAAGUACGAGAGUAACUGCUCGUACCUUGACGGUACCUAACCAGAAAGCCACGGCUAACUACGUGCCAGCAGCCGCCGUAAGAC
rnacentral:rRNA from 1 species